CGGGACGGGUGAGUAACGCGUGGGUAACCUGCCUUGUACUGGGGGACAACAGUUAGAAAUGACUGCUAAUACCGCAUAAGCGCACAGUAUCGCAUGAUACAGUGUGAAAAACUCCGGUGGUACAAGAUGGACCCGCGUCUGAUUAGCUAGUUGGUAAGGUAACGGCUUACCAAGGCGACGAUCAGUAGCCGACCUGAGAGGGUGACCGGCCACAUUGGGACUGAGACACGGCUCAA
rnacentral:rRNA from 1 species